UUAUUAUGUCAUCACAAUAUUGCCUGCGAACCGUGCGAGGUUGGAAACAAAGCAACACUAAGCAUUAGACAAUAUGUGUGGUGACUUUUUUAUUUAUA
rnacentral:SRP_RNA from 1 species